GAGGGCUAAUAGCGGCAAAACAAGGGAACUACCUUGCCAAGGUCGGGGUCGAGGGUUCGAAUCCCUUCGCCCGCUCCA
rnacentral:tRNA from 1 species